AGAGCGAACGCUGGCGGCAGGCCUAAUACAUGCAAGUCGAGCGGCCACUUCGGUGGCAGCGGCGGACGGGUGAGUAACGCGUGGGAAUGUGCCCUUUGGUACGGAACAACUGAGGGAAACUUCAGCUAAUACCGUAUGUGCCCUUCGGGGGAAAGAUUUAUUGCCAUUGGAGCAGCCCGCGUUGGAUUAGCUAGUUGGUGGGGUAAAGGCCCACCAAGGCGACGAUCCAUAGCUGGUCUGAGAGGAUGAUCAGCCACACUGGGACUGAGACACGGCCCAGACUCUACGGGAGCAGCAGUAGGGAAUCUUGCGCAAAUGGGGACGAAAAGCCCUGACGCAAG
rnacentral:rRNA from 1 species